UUGAUAGAACUUUUCCAAGUUUCUUCAUAUUCCCUGUUUAUAUCAACUACGUUUCUUCCAUCGGACAGGUCUUUUAGGACCCUCUAGCUUGAGUAAAUGCACUUGCUGGGGAGUUGCCGGUGGCGUUUCUAAUAAAAAACUUUUUGUCAAUCAUGAACUGUCUGAACUACUUUCAAAUGAAAUA
rnacentral:misc_RNA from 1 species